rnacentral:misc_RNA from 1 species
GAUAUAAAUGUUUCGCCAUCACUAGAAAAUAUGAGACAGGAGAGAUGUUUAGCAAAAUUAGCAAGUCAACAAUACAUAUGAGACAAGGAUAUAGCAAGACACAUCUUCUAUGUCCAUACAAAUAGUUCCUAUAACACUUGCCGCAUUAUUGAAGUAAUCAAGAAAAUCAACAUUUACCAUAAGUUUACAUCAUUGUAAAAAGAAGAGUUAUGGGAAAAGCAUUGGAAGAAGAUGGGGCGAAGAUAAAAAUGAAUCAUCUGUUGGAGAUAUAGAGAACUAAAAAGAAACAUGCCUUGAAACCUUUCAUGUAAUAUUUUAUUAUAAUACAUGCAGAAAAGCCAAAUCUAAUAGAUGCAGAGUAAGAUCCACUAUUCUCAAAAGAAGAAAGGAAGGAAGAGGGAGGGGGGAGAGUGUGUGGGUGGUGGGGGGUUGUGUUUGUGUUGUAAAAUUCAAAAGCAAAUCCAACAUCCAUCGGUCCUUAAUGGGAACUAUAGCUCAAAAGACCAAUGACUUUUAUCUAUAUAAUUAUAUGUUGCUUCAAAUA